AGUGAACGCUGGCGGCAGGCCUAACACAUGCAAGUCGAGCGGCAGCGCGGGGGCAACCCUGGCGGCGAGCGGCGGACGGGUGAGGAAUUCGUCGGAAUCUGCCUUUUUGUGGGGGAUAACGUAGGGAAACUUACGCUAAUACCGCAUACGUCCUACGGGAGAAAGUGGGGGACCGCAAGGCCUCACGCAGAAAGAUGAGCCGACGACCGAUUAGCUAGUUGGUGGGGUAAAGGCCCACCAAGGCGACGAUCGGUAGCUGGUCUGAGAGGAUGAUCAGCCACACUGGGACUGAGACACGGCCCAGACUCCUACGGGAGGCAGCAGUGGGGAAUAUUGGACAAUGGGCGCAAGCCUGAUCCAGCCAUGCCGCGUGUGUGAAGAAGGCCUUCGGGUUGUAAAGCACUUUUGUCCGGAAGGAAAUCCCUGGAGCUAAUACCUUCGGGGGAUGACGGUACCGGAAGAAUAAGCACCGGCUAACUUCGUG
rnacentral:rRNA from 1 species